GGCGGCGUAGCCCAGUUGGUAGAGCAGACGGCUCAUAACCGUCCUGUCAUAGGUUCGAUCCCUAUCGCCGCUA
rnacentral:tRNA from 1 species